rnacentral:rRNA from 1 species
GUGGGGAAUAUUGGGCAAUGGGGGAAACCCUGACCCAGCAACGCCGCGUGAGGGAAGAAGGUUCUCGGAUUGUAAACCUCUGUCCUUGGUGACGAAGGAAGUGACGGUAGCCAAGGAGGAAGCCCCGGCUAACUACGUGCCAGCAGCCGCGGUAAUACGUAGGGGGCAAGCGUUGUCCGGAAUGACUGGGCGUAAAGGGCGUGUAGGCGGCCGAUUAAGUCUGGAGUGAAAGUCCUGCUUGCAAGGUGGGAAUUGCUUUGGAGACUGGUUGGCUUGAGUGCGGAAGAGGUAAGUGGAAUUCCCAGUGUAGCGGUGAAAUGCGUAGAGAUUGGGAGGAACACCAGUGGCGAAGGCGACUUACUGGGCCGUAACUGACGCUGAGGCGCGAAAGCGUGGGGAGCGAACAGGAUUAGAUACCCGGGUAGUCC